rnacentral:rRNA from 1 species
UACGUAGGUGGCAAGCGUUGUCCGGAUUUAUUGGGUUUAAAGGGUGCGUAGGCGGUCAAAUAAGUUAGUUGUGAAAUACGGCAGCUCAACUGUCGAGGUGCAAUUGAUACUGUUUGACUUGAGUAUUGUUGAGGUAGGCGGAAUGGACGGUGUAGCGGUGAAAUGCUUAGAGAUCGUCCAGAACACCGAUAGCGAAGGCAGCUUACUAAAGAAUAACUGACGCUGAGGCACGAAAGUGUGGGGAUCAAACAGG